AUACGGAGGGUGCGAGCGUUGCUCGGAAUUACUGGGCGUAAAGCGUGUGUAGGCGGCCAGGUAAGUCAGAUGUGAAAGCCCUCGGCUCAACCGAGGAAUUGCAUCUGAUACUGCUUGGCUUGAGUACGGGAGAGGGAGGCGGAAUUCCCAGUGUAGAGGUGAAAUUCGUAGAGAUUGGGAGGAACACCAGUGGCGAAAGCGGCCUCCUGGACCGAUACUGACGCUGAGACACGAAAGCGUGGGGAGCAAACAGGAUUAGAUACCCCGGUAGUCC
rnacentral:rRNA from 1 species